GUGUGUGUGUGUGUGUGUGUGUGUGUGUAAAAGUUUGUGUGUCUGUGCUUCAUUGUGCUUUCUUUGGACUUUGUGUCUGCCAGUUGCCGUGUGAGGGUCUGCAAGUCAGUCUUAGGUUGCUAAUCGGAGUGCGAAGCCCGCAGGUUGUCUGUGAGGCUCCAGGAAUGUGUGUGUUUGCCAUUGUGUAGGGACCUGACACGGCCCCCCACCCCGCCCCCCGUGUUGUGAGCAUGAGGAUGCGUCUAUAGAUUUUGUGUGUCUGUGGGAUCCACGUGAGUCUCAAUGAUUCCACGUAAGACUGUGAGCGCCAAGGGGGUGAUUGUGGGUUUUCAUUGUAUGCAUUGUGUGCAAUCUCCGCGUGGUGUGGGGGGAGCCCAGUGCGUCCCUGGGGGUCCGGGUGUGUCUGAUCUGAUGCUCCUGCAGGGCCCCUCCUGUUCCCCUUCCAUUUGGGUGCACGUGCACCCUGAGACUGGGCCAGUGCUUCAGGGCCAGAGAGGAGGAGGUGGGAGAGGCCUCCUGCCCCUCAACCUGUAAACACAAUAAAAUUGUCGCCAGCACCACAGCGGCCUGUGUCCUGCUCAGGCACUGUUGCAUCGCUUGUCUUGGGAGCACAGAUGGGGCAGUGGGGGCGGGGAGUGUCCCUGAGCCCUGGGAGAGCGCGUUCUUUCCCACACUCUUUGUCUUGCACGGGUCUCUGGGCCAGUCCUGAGGGGCCCUGAGCAGGCAAGUGGAGAGGAGCUGAGCAGGGCCGCCCCGCCCCUGCCCAGCGGGAAAGCAGCCGCCAAGUCUGACAGGGCCAGAGGGACAGUCCCAGGCUGGUGAGGCUCAGAAGGGACCUCCUGCGCUCAGCUUAGAUCUGGGGUGGUAAUCUGGGGCCGGCCAGGUGGCAGCAGAUCAGGAUGGAUCCGGAUCAGGAUGGAGAUGGGGAUGAGGAUCUCACUGCUGAGCCUCUAGGCGCCCAGCCAGCACAGCACAGAAGCGCCUCGGGUCUUGGGGCUCACGUGAGCUGUCUAGGAGCCCCUGAGAUGGGUGCGGAAGGCACAGAUCCACGCAGAGGACCAGAGAAUCAUCCCGACCACUGCUGGCACUUUCCAGGCCAUUUCCUAGCUGACAACCACUCUGAAUCGUGUGACUGCCUCCUGCCACCUGCAGCAAAAAGAAAUUUUGUUCCCCCCCCCCCCAUAUUUUGAGGUGUAAUUGAUGAAUAAAAAUUGUACAUUUUAAAAGGUACGAUGUUUUAUAUCGGUAUAUUUCUUUAAAUGAUAAUCUACAUCAAGUUAAUUAGCACUUCCUUUAUCUUAGCAGUUAUGUUAUUUUUUCGUGCUUUGAAUGCUUAACAGUGUGAGCUGGCUCUCUUUCAGCCUGAGGAUCAUUUUAUGACUGAUGACUCUGCAGGGCUUAGCCCCUACCACCAGCCUACCCCAUGAUCAGGAAUCCAGGCCCCUGUGUCUCUGCUGCUCUGACGUGUGAAGUUCUGUGAUCCUCUGAUCUUCCUUUCAACUGUCAUAUACCUUUUCCUGUAAGUCCUGGCUGAAACUCAGGGGCUGUAGUACAUGGGGCAGAGGCACCAGGCAGAGAGCUGACAUCUGAGGCCAGGUGAAGCCCCUACCCAGAGGAACAAUGAUGCAGGGUAGCUGUGAUCCAGGAGAGGAGGUGGAGUGAGAUGCUUCCUGAGUCUCAUCCACUAAUAAUGGUAAAAUUGUAGCCAGUACACAAACUGUCUAUAGUGGGGUCAGACAUUAUUUAAUCACUUGUUAUGUGUUGGGGUUCAGGAUAACAUACCCUGAAUAUGACACCUUGGCGUAUUGAACCUCAAGGAGUUUGAGAAAAACACCAGAAAUAAGGUCACUCUGACAUCCUCCACCUUCUUUCCUGAAACAGGUUAUAAAACUCUCAUGUGAAAGUUUCCCUCCUUAUACCAGGAGGAAAGGGACAUCUUUAUCUCUGAAGAAAAAGAGAAUGAGAAGAAUUCUAACAAACAGGCCUUGCUACAGUUUCCUACAAUCCCUCAUACUCUUUAACUGGUCAGAUUCCUCCAGGAGUGUCCACUCUUUAUCAAACCUAGCAUAAAAUGCGUCUUUCUCAUUUUCUCAGGAAGGCUCUCAUGUCACAGAAAACUUACAUUGAACUGGUGAACUUUUCUCUUGUUAAUUGUCAGACCCAGCUGGGAUCCCAAGAGGGUUGAGGAAAACUUUUUAAUCAUAUGUAAUCCUUACAUUUAAUAACUUAGUAUCCUUCCUCCCACCCCCCACCCCACCCUCGCCCUCACAGAGGGGUAAACUGAAGCUCAGACAGUUUGCAUAAUUCUGGAAUCAUUGGUUUCCAGAUAAGACACACAGGGGAACACUUCUGGGGGAUCCCCCACAUGGGGAAUUUGUGUGUUCUGACUUUGUGGGUUUUACUCUGCCAGGAUGUGGUUAUGUGUAUCUUAUGUUUUCUUCUAGGAGUUUUAUAGUUUUGAUUUUACACUUAGGUCUGUGAUCCAUUUUGAGUUAUUUUUUGUGAAGGGAAUAAGGUCAGUGUCUAGGUUCAUUUUUGUGUGUGUGUAUGGAUAUCUGUUCCAGCACCGUUUGUGGAAAAGGCUGUCUUUUCUCUGUUGCUCUGCCUUUGCUCCUUUGUUAAAGAUCAGAUUUAUGUGAGUCUGUGUCUGGGCUCUCUGUUCUGUUCCAUUGAUGGCUUGGUCUAUUGUUUCAUCAGUACACACUAUCUUGAUUACUUUAGCUUUAGAGUGUUGACCUUAAAAAAUAAAACAGUUCAUUUACCAUCUGAAAA